rnacentral:lncRNA from 1 species
CCACAACAGAGUUCAGCUGAGAGGUCGGGUUAAAGAAAGUGUGGAAUUGGAGACAGCGGGGUAGAAGAACCAAUGAGUACGGCGAAGAGAGAACCAACGGAGAAAGAUUUCAGUGAGCGCGGGAAGAGAAGCAACAGUGUCCGAUCCCGGUUCCCAAUAAGACACUGCAAAGGAAUGCACUGAGUGUAUAAGGCUCCUUUGAGGUUCAAAAAAUAGAGAAAGAAAAAGCGUUGCCUUUGCAGCCUACCCAGGUGUUCUCUAAACACUGUAAUUUCUUCUUUGUGGGUCGGUGGCCCAGCUGCAUCUUUCCCACGCACCUCGUGACCAUCUCCAGCACUGACCUCCAGCCACUAGGCUCACAAAGAGUUGUUUCAAAAGCACCUUUUUGUGGCAGGAUUCUGGGAUCGGAUCUAAGAAGCCAGUUAACUAAAGGUCUCUACAGCUGAGAUAAGGAUGAAGGACCAUCUUGGCACUAACUGAAGUCUGGAAGAUCGAAGAGUAUGCAAAUCAUUAGUGGGAUCCGGGGCUUUUAUACCACUUAUAAUACAACCAGAAGCUUGGAUAACAAUGUGUACCUGCCCAUGUGACUCAAAUACCAUUUCUCUCCACAGAAAAGACCAUGAGAAGUGACUUGGUGGAGAAAGUGUUUAAUUUUCAAAGCUUCAGAAUUUUAACAUGUUAUAUGCUUUCAAGACGCACAACAGUAGAAAACAUAUCUGAAGUUGGCUGUACAAAUUGCCCUAGAUUUUUGAAGCUUUCUGCUUCCCUUUCUCAGAGGGGGUACAUAGCACUAAGGCAUGCAAGAAUACUGACACAGUAGAUCCAUCUGCUACCAGAGAAGAAGGGCAAGGGUGCACAGAAAAACACCCCAACUCUCUCCCUGCCUGGGGGACAGUUCUGAGAUGUGCCCUUAAAGGUUUUCAGAGAUAAGAUCGGAGUUACCCACAGUGUUAUCCUGCUCAUUAAUAAAUCUUACGCUGUUUUAUUUUUUUUUCCUUUCUUGCCUCACUUACCAGACCCAUUACUAUAUUUCCCGAUAUUAUCUCACAAAUAAGUAACCUACAUCCAAAUCCUUACUUGGAAUUAGCUUUGGGGAGCAAAUCAUAAUGGAAAAAAAAUCCAAGACUGUAUUUCAGAAGUUGUAUGUGCAUUACUCAUAGACCUCCCGUGAGAGUGACCUCUGAAAUGUUAAGAAUCAGCACUCGACUUUCUGACUGUUUGGAAAAUUCCUAUGCCAUUGCUCCAGGCCUUCCACGGACCAGGAGAAACUGGUCGAUUGCCUGGCAGAGAGUAGAUUGCAGCAAAGACUUGGAAAAACAUGGUAGGGCUUAGAAAACAUUGCUGACCGGUGUAUGUGUGUGGGGGUGGGGGUGGGGGGGGGUGUUCAAUACACCCAGGUUAGACAGUCCAUCUCUCUGGGGGCCUAGGUCAGACAAGGAGGUUGGAUCUUGCUGCUUUUAUGGACAACUUCAACCUGGCUGGCACAAGUGUGUAGCAAUUGCUUGAGAUCACUGGAGCGUGGAGACAAGGCACGAAGCACAGAUAAACGAAGAGGAAAGCAAGAGUUUGCAAAGCUGCUACAGAAAGCUGGAAGAAGCACAGGCUAAGUCGGAGAAACCCAGUCCCUGCUGCUGGAUCCAACGCGAAGAAGCCGCUUCCAGCCACUGGAGGACCUCAGGCUGUCCAAGAGAACAGACUGGGAACUCUUACUGGGAAAUAUAAAUUGAAGGAACCAAACUAGGAAGGCAGGCCCACAGGUAGAGCAGUUGGAUAUUCUCAGCCCAGUGGUUAAAACUAGCAGCGAAAGGAACUGACAUGGAGAAGGCUCAGAAAGCUGAGAAUACACACAAGUGACUGAGC